CUUGUCUGUGAUUCCAGCUUUGUAAACUUGUGUGGAUGUCCUGCUCCAGUCCUUCAAUCUGUCUCCCCUGUCUCACUCACAAUCCUAAAACUGCCAGAUAUCUUAUGACAGAUUCACUUUCUGUUCAGGCUACCCAAGGUUGUUUCCUCCUUCAACCAGAAACCUUGACUGAUAAUAUCCAUGUGAAACCUGAAUGAGUAUCUAACCCCUUCAUCUCGCAAAAGAGGAGAGGGGCUCUUAGAAAGGUUGUGACUUUUCCUGGGUUACUCAACAGCAGGUUUUAUCAACACCACGAACACCAUGACUCAUAUACCAAAGAGAUUAUUGAGAAUGCAUACAUAGAACUCAGAAAUUAAGAAAAAGAUAAAUUUUUUGCUUAAGCCUUGAGAAUGGAUGACAUCACCAUUUGAGAAUGUGCAAUGGGACCAAAGGAGAGAGCUGAGAACUGAACCUCAGGGAUAAUUCACUUUUGAGAGCUGAAUUUUUAAAAACAGCGUGCAAACUAAGGCAAACUAGGAAGAGGUUGAUAGUAUAUCCAGAGAAGGAAUGGGAAUGUAAGGUCAUUAAAACCAACGGAUAAGAGAGUGAUGCAAAAGAGAAUAAUUGAUUAGCAGGUGAUGACAGAGUCAACAAACUAAGACUUGAGAAGCAAAUUAAUUCUGUGAUUAUGAAUUCAUUUGUAAAUGAAGAUAUGUUUAAGAUGAAAGUCCUUAGAGAGGCACUGGAGCCAAAGCCAGCUUCCAAAGUGUGCAGGGUGAGUUAAGAUAUGAAGACAGGGAGUGUUGACUUUUGUUUUAGAAAGUGUAGCGCAAGAAGAAAAGAAGAAGUGAGAUUGUGUGUUAAGCAAUGGAGGACUGACGGAGACUUUUGUGUAGGUGGCUGAUUUGAACACCAAAAAGAAGGAGCUAAUGAAAAAGGGCAUGAGAAUAAGGAUAAGGACCGAGACUCUGUUUCCUUUGAAUAUUUGGGUUCACCCCUGCCUUCUCUUCAGUCGGUUGAUGGCUGGCUGACUAUUGUUCUUUCUUGGUUUCACGUAGUUCUGCUCAUAGCCCGUUGUGUGGUUAAUCACAUUUUCUAUAUUUGGCUCAGUCGCUUUUUUUUUAUUUUGUACUGCGGCACAAUAAGGACUAGAUGUUAUUCAUCUAAUGGGCACAGACAUAUUCAUCAACAGCAGGCCUGUACUACCCUCAGAAGGCAAUUAUCUCAGUAAGUCAAGGCAGGGACAGUUAGUUGCCUGGAAUACCUGGCUGUUUCAUGACCACAUAUGGCGCUGGAGUGGAUUCUGAGGGAGUAACACAUUGGUUUCACUGCAUCUGUUGCAUCUGUUAUACAGGAAUCUCCCACCGUGAAAACCUAGCAGUCUCCCCUGAUGAUCCCGGAUAAUAUCACUGGAGGAACUGUGGUAUCACUGAGUGUCUGGAAGGAAAGAUCUUUUGAGAAAUUCACAGAUCUCAGAAAAGACAUUCUUGCGGCUGCCAUCUGCUUGAAUGGAGACGAGGCAUCCAGUCCUGAGUUACUCUAGGCUAACUGUUGUGGUGGAGGUAUUGGGUGGUGGGGGGUACAGGCACUGACACCCCUCUCCCAUCUACACUCUGGCUGUAUCAUGCAUAUAACAGACUUUGGAGACGGAUGAGGUUGAAUUCUCAACCAGUCUCCAGGUUAUUAGCUCACAGUAUUUGUCUCGGAAAGAUUCCCCAUCUGUUAGCUCUGGGAUCUUGGACAAGUUACUUAACCUCUCAGAGGCCGGUCUCCCCAUCUAUAAAUGAUUGUGUAGACUUCUGGGGCUCUUGAGGUGAUAAAAUAAGACAUGCAAAGCACUGAACCCAAGGCCUCAAUAAAUGAUGGUGCUUUUGUUCACUCUCUCUGAACUUUGAGAUGUAUUUUUUUUCCUUAAUUAACCAUUCCAGAGCAUUUGUGUGCAUGAUGGGUAACAGGAAACAGCAGCCAAGCUAGUGAACCUCGGAUUGAUUCAUAACCUUAGCAUUUUUAUACUAGAACAUGAUGCGAGCCUGUUAGUAUUAAAAAUGAACGUUUUUUUAAUAGAAAAUAAACAUUUUGAUAUUAGCUCUAAUGUAUUGGUUAAAAAAUGAAUCAAACUAACGUAAGACUCAUAAGCUUCAAGCCACGUUAGGUUAUGAUUGUUUAGGCUAUGUUAUGUUUACACAUGACAGUUUUCUCUUGCUUCUAGUGAGAUAUCAAAAGCAUCAAUAAUCUCCACAAUGUAUGUAUGUGUGUAUGCACACACACACACACACACACACACACACACACGUAUAUCACCAAGAAAUAAACUUGUGGGAGCCACAUCAAUGCAAAGACUGCCUUAUAUCCUCUAGUGAAUCUGUCAUGCAAAUGUAGUGUGUUUCUGAAAUAUGCAGAAAUAGGUAAUAUCUGCAUAUUUAGCAGCUUUAGAAACUUUUAUGAGCCAAGCUUCUUUUAUUUUCAUGUGGUAUGUAAAGAACACUUUUAGCAGAAUAGAAAAAAAGGAUCUUGGACUCAUCCUUGACUCCUCUCUUCCUUUUACUCUCAACAACCUGUCCACCAGCAAACCCGUGGGCUCUUCCUUCAAACUAUAUUCAGGAUUCAAUAAUAAAUAUCUUCUUAAUAGGUCACCUCCAUUCACCCUCACCUUUUUACAGCCUGUUCUCCUAACAGCAGCAAAAGUAAUACAGUAAAAACGUAAGUCACCUGUCUGUUCAAAAAUGUGAAACCACUUCAACUCUGGGUAUACACUCAAAAGAUUUGAAAGCAGGGACUCAAGCAGAUAUUUGUAUACCAAUGAUCAUAGCAUCGUUAUAAGCAAUAGCCAGAAGAUGGAAAUGAUCCGAGCAUCCAUGGAUGGAUGAAUAGAUAAAUAAACUAUAUAUAUGUAUGUAUAUAUUAUAUAUAUGCAUAUAUAUAGGAAUAUUAUGCAGCAAUAAAAAGUAAUCAAAUUCUGAUAUACACUACAACAUGGAUGAACCUAGAACACAUUAUGAAAUAAGCCAAUCACAAAAGUAACAAUAUUGUUUGAUUCCACUUAUAUCAGGGUACCUGAAAUAGACAGAGGCAGAAAGUAGAACAAUGGUUGCCAGAGUCUGGGGUACUGGAUAAUGGAGAGUUGUUGUUUAAAGGAUACAGAGUUUCAGUUGGGGAAGACAAAAAAGCUCUGGAGAUGGAUGGUGGUGAUGGUCGUACAACAAUGUGAGUGUACUUAAUGCCAAUGAACUGUACCUUUAAAAAUGGCUGAAAUGGUAAAUCCCA